rnacentral:rRNA from 1 species
AUUGAACGCUGGCGGCGUGCCUAACACAUGCAAGUCGAGCGGUAACAGGUGUAGCAAUACAUGCUGACGAGCGGCGGACGGGUGAGUAACGCUUGGGAAUCUGCCUAUUAGUGGGGGACAACCCGGGGAAACUCGGGCUAAUACCGCAUACGCUCUACGGAGGAAAGCCGGGGACCGCAAGGCCUGGCGCUAAUAGAUGAGCCCAAGUCGGAUUAGCUAGUUGGUAGGGUAAUGGCCUACCAAGGCGACGAUCCGUAACUGGUCUGAGAGGACGACCAGUCACACCGGAACUGAGACACGGUCCGGACUCCUACGGGAGGCAGCAGUGGGGAAUAUUGGACAAUGGGCGAAAGCCUGAUCCAGCGACGCCGCGUGGGUGAAGAAGGCCUGCGGGUUGU